AGGAGUGCGACUUAUAGAUCUACUUUGCUGACGAGUCUUUCGCUGUUGGCGAGAACACUUAAGGCAGAGUGCCUUUUUUGUGUUCUCGGGUGAAUAUAUUCUUGACUUACUCCCUCGUCUACUUGCGCCAUAGUCCCGAGAACCCCUAGGAUGAGGUACCUUCUUCGGGUGCUUAGGAAUAUGGGUGCAUUUUGUGUGCUAAAUCUGAACCUGACAGCCUUAGAUGGGCAUCUCCGAAGACAAGUGUCUACAGGGCGGUAUGCCCUCAGUGGAUUCUUAGGAGUGCGGCAUCUACUCUGCUUCGACCAUAAUCUCGAAGACCAAUAGGGCGGAAUACCCUUCUCGAUCAGUCAAUCAGGAAAAUGGCUGUUGGGUCUUCAUCUGCUCUGCUUCGACCAUAAUCCCGAAGACCAAUAGGGCGGAUACCCUUCUCGGUCAGUCAAUCAGGAAAAUGGCUGUUGGGUCUUCAUCUACUCUGCUUCGACCAUAAUCCCGAAGACCAAUAGGGCGGAAUACCCUUCUCGGUCAGUCAAUCAGGAAAAUGGCUGUUGGGUCUUCAUCUACUCUGCUUCGACCAUAAUCCCGAAGAACAAUAGGGCGGAAUACCCUUCUCGGUCAGUUAAUCAGGAAAAUGGCUGUUGGGUCUUCAUCUGCUCUGCUUCGACCAUAAUCCCGAAGACCAAUAGGGCGGAAUACCCUUCUCGGUCAGUCAAUCAGGAAAAUGGUUGUUGGGUCUGCUUCGAUCCCGAGGAAGGCCUCGAGACAUGUCUUUAAACUGUAGACUUCUUUCUAACUUGAUCGGUCUGUCAGUCUGACCACUUCGGUAUAGGAUUCUAAGCAGUAUGCCUUCUACCCUUUUCCGACCAUGGUCAGGUCUUCUCUUGGCAGCAAAAAUCAAUCUUCUUCCAGCAUCAUCCUGGGCUCUCGAACGAAAAAUCCUCAGAAACCUGCUUGGAAGCAGUACCAGCAUGAGCAUUCUUUGAAGGACCCAAUCAAUCCUUGACAGAUACUCAUUUGUAUAGACGAAGUCAUAGCCAUCAGGUAUCCUUUAGAGCUAACUGUUCUACUCUUCUUCACCAUGGAUUCCGACGUAGAGCAGCUACAAUUUGUGAUUGAAAACUUCAAGAACACUAGAACACAGCCCUCCUUCUAGCGCCAAUGUUAACGCCAGGAUCUUUCUCCACGUCCCAAUCACCAAGACGCGUCCGAUAUCCUGCACAGUAAACACAGUCAACACCAAAAGCUUGACGGCUUGACCGUCGGGGGAUAGCUCCGGCGUGAGAGUCAGUACAGGCGAUCACAAGGUUAACAAUGGAGGGAUAAAUAUCUAGUGACUUGA
rnacentral:lncRNA from 1 species